UUCUUACAUCUUUCUGUGGUCUUACAGUUUUGUUAAGUUUCCUAUUGAAAGACCCCCGGAGCGGGGAGACCCUCACUCAAGUCUCGGGAUGAUGCAACCCCCCAAGAACUCACGUGAGACU
rnacentral:pre_miRNA from 14 species